GUCAGGAUGGCCGAGUGGUCUAAGGCGCCAGACUUAAGGUUCGGCUCUGUAUGCAGUAAAGAGACUUCUGGUCUCCAAUUGGAGUCGUGGGUUCGAACCCCACUUCUGACA
rfam:Gasterosteus aculeatus cont1.013052, whole genome shotgun sequence.